UACGAGGGGUGCAAGCGUUGCUCGGAAUUAUUGGGCGUAAAGGGUAGGUAGGUGGUCUCAUUUGUCUGGGGUGAAAGCCCAGGGCUUAACCCUGGAAGUGCCCCAGAAACGGUGAGACUCGAGUACUGGAGAGGGUCGUGGAAUUCCCGGUGUAGCGGUGAAAUGCGCAGAUAUCGGGAAGAACACCCGUGGCGAAGGCGGUUCUCUGGGACGGUACUGACGCUGAGACGCGAAAGCGUGGGGAGCGAACAGG
rnacentral:rRNA from 1 species